rnacentral:rRNA from 1 species
CCUACGGGGAGCAGCAGUGGGGAAUAUUGCACAAUGGGGGAAACCCUGAUGCAGCGACGCCGCGUGAGUGAAGAAGUAAUUCGUUAUGUAAAGCUCUAUCAGCAGGGAAGAAAAUGACGGUACCUGAGUAAGAAGCCCCGGCUAACUACGUGCCAGCAGCCGCGGUAAGACGUAGGGGGCAAGCGUUAUCCGGAUUUACUGGGUGUAAAGGGAGCGUAGACGGCAGUGCAAGUCUGGAGUGAAAGGCGGGGGCUCAACCCCCGGACUGCUCUGGAAACUGUACGGCUGGAGUGCAGGAGAGGUAAGUGGAAUUCCUAGUGUAGCGGUGAAAUGCGUAGAUAUUAGGAGGAACACCAGUGGCGAAGGCGGCUUACUGGACUGUAACUGACGUUGAGGCUCGAAAGCGUGGGGAGCAAACAGGAUUAGAUACCCCAGUAGUC